GGGCCUGUAGCUCAGUUGGUUAGAGCAGAGGACUCAUAAUCCUUUGGUCGUAGGUUCGAGUCCUACCGGGCCCACCA
rnacentral:tRNA from 1 species